rnacentral:rRNA from 1 species
CAGUAGCCGCGGUAAUACGAAGGGGGCUAGCGUUGUUCGGAUUUACUGGGCGUAAAGCGCACGUAGGCGGAUCGAUCAGUCAGGGGUGAAAUCCCAGAGCUCAACUCUGGAACUGCCUUUGAUACUGUCGAUCUGGAGUAUGGAAGAGGUGAGUGGAAUUCCGAGUGUAGAGGUGAAAUUCGUAGAUAUUCGGAGGAACACCAGUGGCGAAGGCGGCUCACUGGUCCAUUACUGACGCUGAGGUGCGAAAGCGUGGGGAGCAAACAGGAUUAGAUACCCGCGUAGUCCCUGUCUCUUAUAU